rnacentral:rRNA from 1 species
UGCGUAACGCGUUAACCAACCUACCCGAAUCUGGGGGAUAGCCCGCCGAAAGGCGGAUUAAUACCGCAUAAGACUACAGAAUGGCAUCAUUUAGUAGUUAAAGAUUUAUUGGAUUCGGAUGGGGUUGCGUGCCAUUAGCUAGUUGGUGGGGUAAUGGCCCACCAAGGCUCCGAUCCUUAGCUGUUCUGAGAGGAAGAUCAGCCACACUGGGACUGAGACACGGCCCAG